UCGAACGGACUCAUAUUGAAACCUAGUGAUUUAUGAGUUAGUGGCGGACGGGUGAGUAGCGCGUGGAUAACCUGCCGUAUACCGGGGGAUAACACUUAGAAAUAGGUGCUAAUACCGCAUAAGCGCACGGCUCCGCAUGGGGCAGUGUGAAAAACUCCGGUGGUAUACGAUGGAUCCGCGUCUGAUUAGCUAGUUGGCGGGGUAACGGCCCACCAAGGCAGCGAUCAGUAGCUGGCCUGAGAGGGUGGACGGCCACAUUGGGACUGAGACACGGCCCAAACUCCUACGGGAGGCAGCAGUGGGGAAUAUUGCACAAUGGGGGAAACCCUGAUGCAGCGACGCCGCGUGAGUGAAGAAGUAUCUCGGUACGUAAAGCUCUAUCAGCAGGGAAGAAAAUGACGGUACCUGACUAAGAAGCCCCGGCUAACUACGUGCCAGCAGCCGCGGUAAUACGUAGGGGGCAAGCGUUAUCCGGAUUUACUGGGUGUAAAGGGAGCGUAGACGGUGAGACAAGUCUGAAGUGAAAGCCCGGGGCUCAACCCCGGGACUGCUUUGGAAACUGCCUGACUGGAGUGCUGGAGAGGCAAGCGGAAUUCCUAGUGUAGCGGUGAAAUGCGUAGAUAUUAGGAGGAACACCAGUGGCGAAGGCGGCUUACUGGACCGUAACUGACGUUGAGGCUCGAAAG
rnacentral:rRNA from 1 species